rnacentral:rRNA from 1 species
AAGGUUAAGCCUCACGGUUCAUUAGUACCGGUUAGCUCAACGCAUCGCUGCGCUUACACACCCGGCCUAUCAACGUCGUCGUCUUCAACGUUCCUUCAGGACUCUCAAGGAGUCAGGGAGAACUCAUCUCGGGGCAAGUUUCGUGCUUAGAUGCUUUCAGCACUUAUCUCUUCCGCAUUUAGCUACCGGGCAGUGCCAUUGGCAUGACAACCCGAACACCAGUGAUGCGUCCACUCCGGUCCUCUCGUACUAGGAGCAGCCCCCCUCAGUUCUCCAGCGCCCACGGCAGAUAGGGACCGAACUGUCUCACGACGUUCUAAACCCAGCUCGCGUACCACUUUAAAUGGCGAACAGCCAUACCCUUGGGACCUACUUCAGCCCCAGGAUGUGAUGAGCCGACAUCGAGGUGCCAAACACCGCCGUCGAUAUGAACUCUUGGGCGGUAUCAGCCUGUUAUCCCCGGAGUACCUUUUAUCCGUUGAGCGAUGGCCCUUCCAUUCAGAACCACCGGAUCACUAUGACCUGCUUUCGCACCUGCUCGCGCCGUCACGCUCGCAGUCAAGCUGGCUUAUGCCAUUGCACUAACCUCCUGAUGUCCGACCAGGAUUAGCCAACCUUCGUGCUCCUCCGUUACUCUUUAGGAGGAGACCGCCCCAGUCAAACUACCCACCAGACACUGUCCGCAACCCGGAUCACGGGUCCACGUUAGAACAUCAAACAUUAAAGGGUGGUAUUUCAAGGUCGGCUCCAUGCAGACUGGCGUCCACACUUCAAAGCCUCCCACCUAUCCUACACAUCAAGGCUCAAUGUUCAGUGUCAAGCUAUAGUAAAGGUUCACGGGGUCUUUCCGUCUUGCCGCGGAUACACUGCAUCUUCACAGCGAGUUCAAUUUCACUGAGUCUCGGGUGGAGACAGCCUGGCCAUCAUUACGCCAUUCGUGCAGGUCGGAACUUACCCGACAAGGAAUUUCGCUACCUUAGGACCGUUAUAGUUACGGCCGCCGUUUACCGGGGCUUCGAUCAAGAGCUUCGCUUGCGCUGACCCCAUCAAUUAACCUUCCGGCACCGGGCAGGCGUCACACCGUAUACGUCCACUUUCGUGUUUGCACAGUGCUGUGUUUUUAAUAAACAGUUGCAGCCAGCUGGUAUCUUCGACUGAUUUCAGCUCCACGAGCAAGUCGCUUCACCUACAUAUCAGCGUGCCUUCUCCCGAAGUUACGGCACCAUUUUGCCUAGUUCCUUCACCCGAGUUCUCUCAAGCGCCUUGGUAUUCUCUACCUGACCACCUGUGUCGGUUUGGGGUACGAUUUGAUGUUACCUGAUGCUUAGAGGCUUUUCCUGGAAGCAGGGCAUUUGUUGCUUCAGCACCGUAGUGCCUCGUCAUCACGCCUCAGCCUUGAUUUUCCGGAUUUGCCUGGAAAACCAGCCUACACGCUUAAACCGGGACAACCGUCGCCCGGCCAACAUAGCCUUCUCCGUCCCCCCUUCGCAGUAACACCAAGUACAGGAAUAUUAACCUGUUUCCCAUCGACUACGCCUUUCGGCCUCGCCUUAGGGGUCGACUCACCCUGCCCCGAUUAACGUUGGACAGGAACCCUUGGUCUUCCGGCGAGCGGGCUUUUCACCCGCUUUAUCGUUACUUAUGUCAGCAUUCGCACUUCUGAUACCUCCAGCAUGCCUCACAGCACACCUUCACAGGCUUACAGAACGCUCCCCUACCCAACAACACAUAGUGUCGCUGCCGCAGCUUCGGUGCAUGGUUUAGCCCCGUUACAUCUUCCGCGCAGGCCGACUCGACCAGUGAGCUAUUACGCUUUCUUUAAAUGAUGGCUGCUUCUAAGCCAACAUCCUGGCUGUCUGGGCCUUCCCACAUCGUUUCCCACUUAACCAUGACUUUGGGACCUUAGCUGGCGGUCUGGGUUGUUUCCCUCUUCACGACGGACGUUAGCACCCGCCGUGUGUCUCCCGUGAUAACAUUCUCCGGUAUUCGCAGUUUGCAUCGGGUUGGUAAGUCGGGAUGACCCCCUUGCCGAAACAGUGCUCUACCCCCGGAGAUGAAUUCACGAGGCGCUACCUAAAUAGCUUUCGGGGAGAACCAGCUAUCUCCCGGUUUGAUUGGCCUUUCACCCCCAGCCACAAGUCAUCCGCUAAUUUUUCAACAUUAGUCGGUUCGGUCCUCCAGUUAGUGUUACCCAACCUUCAACCUGCCCAUGGCUAGAUCACCGGGUUUCGGGUCUAUACCCUGCAACUUAACGCCCAGUUAAGACUCGGUUUCCCUUCGGCUCCCCUAUUCGGUUAACCUUGCUACAGAAUAUAAGUCGCUGACCCAUUAUACAAAAGGUACGCAGUCACACGCCUAAGCGUGCUCCCACUGCUUGUACGUACACGGUUUCAGGUUCUUUUUCACUCCCCUCGCCGGGGUUCUUUUCGCCUUUCCCUCACGGUACUGGUUCACUAUCGGUCAGUCAGGAGUAUUUAGCCUUGGAGGAUGGUCCCCCCAUAUUCAGACAGGAUACCACGUGUCCCGCCCUACUCAUCGAGCUCACAGCAUGUGCAUUUUUGUGUACGGGGCUGUCACCCUGUAUCGCGCGCCUUUCCAGACGCUUCCACUAACACACACACUGAUUCAGGCUCUGGGCUGCUCCCCGUUCGCUCGCCGCUACUGGGGGAAUCUCGGUUGAUUUCUUUUCCUCGGGGUACUUAGAUGUUUCAGUUCCCCCGGUUCGCCUCAUUAACCUAUGGAUUCAGUUAAUGAUAGUGUGUCGAAACACACUGGGUUUCCCCAUUCGGAAAUCGCCGGUUAUAACGGUUCAUAUCACCUUACCGACGCUUAUCGCAGAUUAGCACGUCCUUCAUCGCCUCUGACUGCCAGGGCAUCCACCGUGUACGCUUAGUCGCUUAA